GGCCUAUCAGCUUGUUGGUGGGGUAAUGGCCUACCAAGGCGACGACGGGUAGCCGGCCUGAGAGGGUGACCGGCCACACUGGGACUGAGAUACGGCCCAGACUCCUACGGGAGGCAGCAGUGGGGAAUAUUGCACAAUGGGCGCAAGCCUGAUGCAGCGACGCCGCGUGAGGGAUGACGGCCUUCGGGUUGUAAACCUCUUUCAAUAGGGACGAAGCGUGAGUGACGGUACCUAUAGAAGAAGCACCGGCCAACUACGUGCCAGCAGCCGCGGUAAUACGUAGGGUGCGAGCGUUGUCCGGAAUUACUGGGCGUAAAGAGCUCGUAGGUGGUUUGUCGCGUUGUCCGUGAAAACUCACAGCUUAACUGUGGGCGUGCGGGCGAUACGGGCAGACUAGAGUACUGCAGGGGAGACUGGAAUUCCUGGUGUAGCGGUGGAAUGCGCAGAUAUCAGGAGGAACACCGAUGGCGAAGGCAGGUCUCUGGGCCACCACUGACGCUGAGAAGCGAAAGCGUGGGGAGCGAACAGGAUUAGAUACCCUGGUAGUCCACGCCGUAAACGGUGGGCGCUAGGUGUGGGACUCAUUCCACGAGUUCUGUGCCGCAGCUAACGCAUUAAGCGCCCCGCCUGGGGAGUACGG
rnacentral:rRNA from 1 species